CAGCCGCCGCGGUAAAACCAGCACCUCAAGUGGUCAGGAUGAUUAUUGGGCCUAAAGCAUCCGUAGCCGGCUCUGUAAGUUUUCGGUUAAAUCUGUACGCUCAACGUACAGGCUGCCGGGAAUACUGCAGAGCUAGGGAGUGGGAGAGGUAGACGGUACUCGGUAGGAAGGGGUAAAAUCCUUUGAUCUAUUGAUGACCACCUGUGGCGAAGGCGGUCUACCAGAACACGUCCGACGGUGAGGGAUGAAAGCUGGGGGAGCAAACCGGAUUAGAUACCCGGGUAGUCCCAGCUGUAAACUAUGCAAACUCAGUGAUGCAUUGGCUUGUGGCCAAUGCAGUGCUGCAGGGAAGCCGUUAAGUUUGCCGCCUGGGAAGUACGUACGCAAGUAUGAAACUUAAAGGAAUUGGCGGGUGAGCAC
rnacentral:rRNA from 2 species